rnacentral:rRNA from 1 species
ACGAGUGGCGGACGGGUGAGUAAUGGUCUGGGAAACUGCCCGGUGGAGGGGGAUAACUACUGGAAACGGUAGCUAAUACCGUAUAACGUCGCAAGACCAAAGAGGGGGACCUUCGGGCCUCUUGCCACCGGAUGUGCCCAGAUGGGAUUAGCUUGUUGGUGAGGUAACGGCUCACCAAGGCGACGAUCCCUAGCUGGUCUGAGAGGAUGACCAGCCACACUGGAACUGAGACACGGUCCAGACUCCUACGGAAGGCAGCAG